rnacentral:lncRNA from 1 species
UUUUUUUUUUUUUUUUUUUUUCAUUUUUGAGUUGUCUUUUUUCUUUUACUGAGUGGUGCAGUGGUCCUUCAGAACUGUUUUCCCAACCCUUCUCAAGUUAGGGUAAUCUGAAGCAGAGAGUGGGUGAUCACCUGCAUUAUCUGGGCUUGGUUCCAUCCACAGUAAGAGCAGAUGCAAAAUGAGCUGAGAGUUCCUGUUUGGGGAAAAGUGAAAAGCACAGUGCAAAAACAAAAGCCAAUUUACAGAUUUUCUGUAAGUCACCAUGGAAUGACAUUGUUUUGACAGGUGGGAGGCAGUACAGCUCACUGUACUGAGGGAGAUAUUCUGAGUAGCCAGAAUAUCCCUGUGUGUGUGAAAAGGAAAGUAGGCCAGAGGAAGUCUCCUAAUACAGUCAUUCUUGAUCAACGAAAUUUAGAAGAUAGUAUCUACCAAAAUACCAAACUCUCAAAGCAACAAUAAUUAGGAGAUUACCUGAGUAUCAUUACUUCAUUUACCAAGUCUGUGAAAAACUGGAAACUCAAUCCACAUGCCUGCUCAUUUUUGGCUAUUCUGCUGAAAGUAAUUACAUUACCAACCAACCAGUCAAACAGGCAAAAACCCAUGGUGAAUGCUACCAUUUCACAGAUCUAUUUAAUGGAUGAAUGACCUUUUCAUUUCAUCAGCAUUGGACUUGUAAAAUUAAGUAAAAGCAGAAAAACCAUGAAAAAAGGGGGAUGGAGAUGCUUGCUUUGUCCUGAGGCACUAUGCAAAGACAAGCUUUUGACCAAGUUUGCACUGAGAAAUGCAUUUGACUAAAUACAGCCCUGCAUGGAUGUUUGUGCCCUGAAAGCACCACAGCCCUGUGAUUGUCACUCUGCCAGACUGCACAGACCUACCCCUCAGGUGGGUACAGCCCUGCACUGCCUGGCUGGCACAGUUUCUGUGCUGGCACUCAGACAGCCUCCCCAGGUUUACAUCAAAUCCAUGGUGAUUUGUAAAUGUACUCAAGCUCUCAACCAGUGUGACAUUUUUUAUGCAAAGAGGAAGAGCUGUGAAAGUUGAGUACUUUGCCUCUCUUUCCUUUUCUAUCUAUCAGACUUUUGGUGUAAGUCUCCAGUAGAAAAUGUACUGAGGAAAAUGAAAAGAUUUUUACAAUAUCAAUGAGCUUUCAAUUACACCAAAAGGCCAAGGUUAUGUGGUUGUCCAUCUGUUCCAGUUAUCCAAUGUCCACAGUGGCAGGCUGUCAAAUCCAGUAAUCCACAAAAAGCAAAAAAUGGAAAAAACAAAAGUAACAAAUGAUAGAACCGAGGGGAAAAAGGAAAAAACCCAAACCAGCUGAUUUGUUCUUAAGUUUCUCAAUUACCAAGUAGUUAAUGAUGAAGUAGCUACAACUGGCAAUAUCAAGACUCAACUAAAGCCUUGUGUGUCUGUCAUAAUUUCCCUGUGGUGCCCCACUAGUGGGAUCAACCAGCCCAGAAAACCUCUUUUCCAGGCCUGGCAAAGGGUGUGUGUCUCCUAGUGGCUGGAUCAUUCUGCACACUGUGGCCACCUGGGUAGCAGUGCUGCUCAAACUGACACAGCAAACUGAGCAAUAAAGCUUCUUCUGUAAUGUUCCCUCUUGGGCUGACUACCCCAGAUUUCUAUUGCUCAAGCUUGUUGCUGCCCCUGCAAAGAGAGUCUGCCCAGAGCAAACACACAUCUGAGCAAAGCUGACAUUGCCCUGGCUCUCCUGGGGCCCCAAGCCUCGCUGCCAGAGUAAUGCAAAUAGCUCAUUGAUGCAGAAGACAAUCAGGUCUGAAUCACUUACAACUUAAGCACAAAGAAGCCAAAGGGUAUUAUCAAGGUUUCUUCUGUGGCCUGUUCAUUUCUGAGCAGAGUGCUCAAUGAAUUCGCAAGUUUUAAUGCAGUGUCAGAAGAAACAUAAAGGUAAUGUUAUACUACUCCAAGUGCCAGGUGCAGAGUCAUAGCAGAAAAACAAACCUCACCAAACUGUUAGAUGACUCAUGAUAGAUGAGUCAGAAACUCAUUCUUUCCUACUACACUGUUACCAAUUUAGCAGGCUGCAAAACGAGAAAAUGGAGCUGUGGAUGACAAAGAAGAGAUAAUUUGUGAAAAAUGCCCACAGCUUGUGGGGUAGAUGAAAGCCAAGAUACAUCAAUUAAAAAAUACCAGGAGACACACUAUGUGGGUACAAGGUGUGUCCUGGCUCUUCAAGCAUUUGAGCAAAUAAAUCCAAGUUAUCAUUCUUUCCAGUUGUUUUCUGGUGUAAGCAGGAGCAGGUGCCUUCUCCAAAGACCACAAGUAGGUACACUAGAUACUAGCAGCAUCUGGCACCAAAUUAAAAGCAAACAUGGAUUCUCUUGUGAUCCUCAGUUUGCAUCCUUUGUGAAUUUUAGGGGCAGAAAGUGUUUUCUGCUAGAAGACUGUAGAAAAUAGUGUUAUCAGUGGAUGUCAUAGCACCGAACAAAAGUAAAAGUUCUGAGGUUAUUAGGAGGCCCAUGUUCAAAAAUAUUCACCUUUGCUUCUCUCAUGUGGGCCAGAUUAGCCAGUGAAAUGUGUUUCAUGCGUACGUGAUCCAAGGAAAGGCUUCAUCACCUACAUGACACCAAAGAUAAAGAGUUAAAUAACGGUUUGGGCCAUGUGAGAACCAUCAAAAGUAAGUGAAUUUGCAUUUUGAUUCCACUAGAAAUAGUUCGGUGAGCUAAAACAAAUUACUUCUCUGAGAUUUGUGAUUCCUCUUGUGAAUUAAAAUAUUCUGUAUUUCCAUUCCAAAUGGUGGUCAGCAGAACAAUGCUAUAUAAUAGGCCCACAAAAUAAGUCAUGAUUGUUUCCUGUCUGUCUGCUGUUUCAAAUGGAAUACUUUAAAAUGAGAACUGGGAGAUGUGAGAUGGAAUAGGAGCAUAGAUUCUAAUGGCACAGUUUGAAAGUAACAGAAAUGGUUCAAUAGAAACUUAACAAAGAUCCUUGCUUGCAGAAGGCAUCUCCCUAGGGUUCUUGACAGUAUGGCAUCUGCAUUCUCCUACAUUUCAGGAAUUUAGAACGAGCUCAGAGGGAAAACAAUUCAGAGAAAAACCACGAAACAUAUUAUGGGAAAUGAAAAACACAUCAUAGCAGAAACCUCUCAUUGCUGUAUCUAUGUCCUUUAUAAAAGAAAGGACUGAGGAGUAACACAGUUACUGUCAGUAAGUACCAGCACUGAGCACACAGCGUGAAUGAACUUUUCAAUAUAGUGGACAAAAGUAUAACAAGAUACAUUAGCUGAAAGGUAGACAGUUCAAACUAGGAAUAAGGCACACAUUUUUAACACUGAAAGUAAUUGAAACAAUGUACCAAGGACUCCAGUGAAUUUUCCUUUAGUGAGAAUAUGUAUAUAAUGAUUGGAAAUUUUUCUAGAAGACACAUAACUGAAACAAAAAUUAAUUCAUAGAAGUUCAAUGACAUGUAAUAUACAGGAGGUCAGAGCAGAUUAUCAAAAAUGGGCCUUUGGAGCUUUAGAGUCUAGGACUUUAUGGAACAUUGAAAAAGUAUUAACUAAUUUUCUUCAAGUAGAAUGUCCUUAACAAAGAUCAAUUUCUCUAUCAAUGGAUUUUCCAUACUUCUCAGCACCGUCUUAAGUCUUUCCCAAAAAAAUUAGUUUGGUGUGGUGAGAUCAAUAGUGAUUUCAUAGUGCCUUCUCUUCUUCAUUUUACCUCAGUUAUUAAAAUAACUAUCUAGUUUAAAAAUAUAUAAUCUUUUAUUCCAUUUGAGAAACAACCCACCCAAUUAUAUCUCAUUACAGCAUCUUAAAAUGAAAAUUUAACAAACAUUAACAACUAACAACUUAGAAAUGCCAAAACCUUCAAACUUCUUUAAAAAUUAGCUCAGAACAUUUUUCUAUUAAGAACUAAGUAUUUUUUUAAUAAUUAUGUUUUGUUUCUAAUUUCAGAUUCUUUUGGAGUUAUAUCAAGUGCAAAAGUUUUGGUCCAGCCAUGUGGAAAAUAAUCUUUAUAUGCUUUAAUUGCUCUGCUGAUUCUCUUUCAUCUUUCAAAACUUGUCAUGUGCUAAUACCAAGUCUGGAAAAUGUCAGUCCCAGAAGAUAUGCUUGUCAAAUUAAUAACAACAAAAAGAAACAAAAACCCCAAAACCAACAAACAAAAACAACAACAACAACAACAAACCAAAAACAAACCCAAAAAGGAAGAAGAGUGGUCAUAUUAAGAACUGAUCUCAGUGAUAAUUAUAAUGACAUUUUAGUGUAUAUUAUCAAUUUGCCUGACCUAAGAUGCAGACAUUAUGAGAGUUGCCAGCAGAAGUUGCCCUGGGGAUGGGCUGAAGCAGUCUUUUGAUGCCUAGACUGUCUUUUCUCCCUGGCUGACUUCAUUCACACACCUCGUCAUGCCAAUUUACUCCAGUUUUUCCCCUCCCUCCUCAGCAGUUGGAUGUUGCAACCUGUUUACAGUGAUGAGAUUCCCUUACUGGGUGAACUUUCUGUUACCUGGCAGGAGAAAUUCCUUGGGAAUUAAUGUGGUCUCAGUAUCUGUGAAACAGCUAAGGGAUUAGAGAUGUCUUUUCAAGACACUGAAGUUUUCUGAUAAAAACCACAGCAGCAUUCUUCCAGAACUGCAGAACAGUACUGAUCCCAUAAAAAACUCUGGGAGAUUUUGCAAGUAAAAAGUGACCAUCCAUGUUAGCUAUGGGUUAAUAGUGCUCCAGUCUCAGUGAAAAGUGAUGUAUACAAUGGCUGCAAAUGUCACAUGCAGCUCUACUUACGCUGCUGCAGGGAGUUUAUGCUUUACCCAGCAUGACAAGGCAUAAAGAAUUUGGACUGGGAAUAUCCAAGGUAGAAUGAGAUUAGCAUGGUGCAAGAAAAAAGCCCAUCUUUUUUCCCCUGCAUCUGUCUGCAUCUCUUUUUUCUCAUCUGUAGUCUUGAGGUUUUGUGUCCAUUGAAAAAUCCUCAGAGGGGAGCUGAGCUAGAAAUGUAUGGAGCCAGGCACACUCUUGUCCUGCUGUGACUAGAAAGAAGUCACUUGGUGACUUUUCAAUAGCUCCUCAGAGCAGUGCCCACAACUACCUUGCUCUAAAACACUCUUACCUUUGGAGAUACAUCCACUUCCAGGACACCCUGCUUCUGCUUCCUAUUACAUUCAAUUAGGGUGAACCUGGAUUUCUGUCUGGAGUGCAUUUCAGUGAAAAAUAAAAUAAAAUAAAAUGGCCUGUCACAAGUGAAAUAGUUCAGGAAUUAGUGAAGUAUUGUGGACUGAUAAGAAUGGUUUCUUUCCACAGAGAAUGGAAGCCAAAAUGGCUGUGAAUCUCAUUUUAGCAUCUAGCAAAAAAAUCUGCCAGCCUGGUUAUAGUAAGGAUGAUAAUAUUAUGUUGUUUAAUCUUAUCUGGAUAUGUCCCCACUGGUGGUUUCCUGCUGGUAAACCACAGAGAAGAGAGGCAGUAGUAAGUAAACUAGAGGAAGUGAGAUGAAAUAUAGUAUGCUCUUUUGGUUAAUAGGGGAUUCAUGUAAAGGAUAUUGCUAAUUAAAACCAAUGGUAUUUUCUGCCAUCUGGGCUUUCAAAACUAGUUUCAGAGGAUACAGAGGAUGUUUUGUUUCACUGAAUUGCUCAUAUCUUAGGGAAGCCACUGGGAUGAAAUAUUAGUUUGUGGUAAACUCUGCUUGCACUUUGGGAGCAACAUGUAAAAUAAGCACUUUACAGAGUUUGAGUACAUGGUUUCACCCAUAUAAUGUCCAAAUGAAAGGGCAACUUGGGGUUAGAAGAACAAAAUCCACUCAGCCUAUUCUGAGGUAUAAGAAACUGCCAAAUCUUAGUGGUUACUGGAAUAGGACUUCUUGGAUGCACCAGGCUAUACAAGUGCGGCUGCAGGGCUGCUGGAUCUAUGGAAACAUGGAGUCUGGGGAUUUGCCUGCAGUGCUGACCUUCGGACCAGCCUGUGAAUGGCAUGGUGAUUCACUGAGAGCCUGUGAAGCCAGAGCUGCAUUGCUGCUGCUGCUCACAGCCUUCCUCUGGUUGACCAAAGGGAGUUGAAGUUGCUCCAAAGACCUAGCCAGAAUUCCCAAAUAGAGCACCUCGCCUUGUUAAGUGCAUUAGGAAAUACUGAGCAACCUCAGCAAAAAGAUUUGUGAGUGAGAUGACAUCUUUAUGUAUCAGUGAAAUCUUGUGCUCAGCAUACACUUACUUCAUCUGGAUUCUAGGCUUAUGCACAAGGCUGAGGAAACAAACCUAAACUUUCUUCAGCUUGCCUAUUUCUAUUUGCCUUCUGUCAGCAAAACAAGCCUCAUCAUGUGGCUACCGGAUGUCUUUUCCCCCUCCCACACCACUUCCAAGGAUCUCAGUUGGAUCCACUUCCCUAAGAACGAAUGAAAAAGUCCAGUUUGGUUGUUAGAGUUGUCUUUAUGUCACUGGAAACAAACACUUAGUAGGUGAUGUUGGAACAAUUCCUUGUGUGCUAACAGUGUCUGAAGACUAGUUUCACAUGUGGCUGAGCUGGGUACUCUGAAAGUUAAAUAUCAACAGGAGAAGUGAAGUUAAAUCAGAACAGGAGGAGAGAACUGCAGGAAAAAGGUGGCACCCAUCUUAAUCAGAGCUGCCCAGCAUGUAGUCUGUGGGGUGUCUUCUGUCUGAUUUCUGCUUGCAUGUUACUUGUGUAGCUGAGCUGUUAU